ensembl:lncRNA
CCCAGACCCAUUUCUCAGAGCCAGAGUAAGAGAGGGAGUAAAGGAAGGACUUUGUUUCCCUCUCACCAAUUCAGUUCAUGGCUCUGGGUGAAUUAGAUUCGUCUCCCUCUGGAUGUAUCAGAAAUGCAGCAGAAAGAGCUCUUUAAAUAUAGUGUUAGAAAAGUUUGAAAUGUCAAUAAAUGUACAAGGAAACAUGAAAUAGAUUGUGGUAUUAUUCUCUUCUUUUUGUAAUCUACCAUACUUGUCAACUCCAAUGAAUGGAUUAGUGAGUAGACAAUUUGCUAAGUACUAUGCUAAAUUAGGCAAAUGACUUAUCACUUUGUAAGGAUUCCAACAAUAGAUGACAGUAAAACAAGCCAGAGAUACAAAACUUAAGUGGUCUAGGAGUAUGAACACAAGGUUGUCUAAUGGGGUCCUGGAGGGGAUGAAGCAUCUUCCAAACCAUAAAUUUCCCUUUCUUAAUCAGGUUGGAUGUGCAGUGGCUAUUCACAAGCUGGAUCCCACUGCCGAUUGACCUAAAAGUUUUGAUCUAUAAUGCUUUUCUGACCUGCCUCUCUUUAGACAGCUUUGUGAUCCCUUGUUCCCAAGUGCUCACUAUAUUGAUACAGAACAUGGUACAAAUAGUCAGCUUUAGAAUUACUACAACCCCAAAUUCUGGAGCUCAAGUGAUCCACACACCUCCACAAAUACUGGGAUAAGGGUUAUUCAUAACCGUGCCCCACCAAAUUGUCAUUCCUAAUCAUAGGUAUGACUAUAGUUUCAAGAACUCCCUAAUUCCUAUAGGAAAAGAACACAUGUAAGUUUUAGAUUUCAGCAGACUGAUAGUCAUAUGUAGCAAAGACAGAGACCAUGCUAUCUGCCCCUUCAUUUAUAAAUGGAAUGUUUCCAUACCUAAUGAGACCUAAAGCUUUGAGCAGCUCAAUUGCACAUGUAAAGGGAAGAAAAGAAAUUAAACUUUGCUCAGCUGCAAAGACCCAACCAGAAUUUCAGAAAUGUACAGGAUGGUCACCAUAAGUUCCCUUAUUUGGGAAACCUAGGUCUGAAGCAGAAUGUGGAAUAGGAGAGACUUAACCUUUCCCAUCCCCUGCCAGGAAGGUGAAAUACCUUAUACCCAUAGUCCUGAGAAAACAGAACUGGAAAAGCUUCUGCCAAUCAUAAACUGAGAUUUGUCCUCUCAGAGUAAAAUAAUACACCAGCAGAGGGAGCACAGUGGUUCCAACUGAGUUUAAGACUAGGGACUUAAGACUAAAUUUAGGGAGUCCAAGGGAUGGAUUAAUUACCACUUAGAGAUGCUCCAACUUGUAAGGAGACAGCCCAAAAGCUGAGUGACUUUCCUAGACUAGUUCAGCUCUUAGAUUAGCGCUUAAAAUUGAAGCAGCAUGCUCUGUGAAGGAACCCUGAGAAGUCAACCACAAGGUGUGCCCAUUGAACCUGAAUAAUCAGCUUCCCCUCCAGGGACUCAGCCUGCUGGUGUGGAUGUGAGCUGGGGUGGUAGUAUGCUAUAAGAGCUAAGUUUGACGUAAUGUUGUACAAUCUGGUUCUAGUCCCCCUUUCCAAAUUUAUUUCACAUGACUUUCUUUCAUGGAUUUUAUUUCCAAGACAAACUAGCUUAUUUUUUACUCCCUUAAUUUCAAAUUCUCUCUCUUAAAAGCUUAUGAAGCAGGGAGUCAUUUUAGUAGGUCUGGAGUCAGGAAUACAUGAGUUCAAAUCCAGACUCAAAUACUUAUUAGUUAUGUGUGAUCCUGCACAAGUCACUUAAUCUGUCUGACUCAGUUUCUUUCACUGUGAAAUGGGGAUAACAAUAGCACCUAUCUUAAGAGGUUAUUGUAAAGAUCAAAUGGGAUAUCUGUUAAUGACUUAACACAUUGCCUAGAACAGAGCAAGUGCUUAAUAAAAGGAUGCAUCACCCCCUCCCUUCUGUGUCCCAAGUUCUCUUACUGACUGAUAUACUCAGGGUGGUGGAUUGAAAGAACAGAUAGUACUUAUUAUUAGCAUUCCCUGGGCAUGGAGAGAUAGGGUAUUUUGAGUUGAAUUACAAGAUAUACUUUUUUCACUUCAAGUUAAACUAAUGCUCUAUGCUAUACAAUAACAAAUGAUUGAGUUAAUUACUGGGAAGGGAAAAACCCUUUCUCUGGUUUCUUCACCACACAAUGGAAACUACCUAAUACCCCUAAAGUUAGUAAGGGGGUGAAUUCCUGGCUUAGUAUCUAUUACACCACCCAAGGGACAAUCUUACCAUAAUUGAAAGUCUGUGGCUUGGGAGUGGAGAGAAUUCUAAGCAAUUAAAUCUGGAGUUGUGGCAAUGAUACUUAGAUCAGACAGUUAAUAUCCUCUGGAUUCACUGGAAGCAAGAGGCAAGAGGUGUUUUUUUCUUCUCUUUAUCAGGCAGGUUAUUAGUUAGCCAGGUAUCACGGUUUGUCUAGAGACAUUGGUCAAUACUGUAGCACCAGCUUAAUCCAUCACAAAAAUUGGUGGGGUAUUGGGCCUGGUAGGACCUGGCUGCUUGAAGAGAUUUUUCUUUAACCUGGGAAGU